rnacentral:rRNA from 1 species
GACGAACGCUGGCGGCGUGCUUAACACAUGCAAGUCGAACGGAAAGGCCCCUUUGGGGGUACUCGAGUGGCGAACGGGUGAGUAGCACGUGAGUAACCUGCCCUUGACUUCGGGAUAACUUCAGGAAACUGGGGCUAAUACCGGAUAGGAAUCCUUGCUGCAUGGUGGGGGUUGGAAAGCUUCGGCGGUUUUGGAUGGACUCGCGGCUUAUCAGCUUGUUGGUGGGGUAGUGGCUUACCAAGGCUUUGACGGGUAGCCGGCCUGAGAGGGCGACCGGCCACAUUGGGACUGAGAUACGGCCCAGACUCCUACGGGAGGCAGCAGUGGGGAAUAUUGCACAAUGGGCGGAAGCCUGAUGCAGCAACGCCGCGUGCGGGAUGACGGCCUUCGGGUUGGAAACCGCUUUCAGCAGGGGCGAAGCUUGUGGUGACGGUACCUGCAGAAGAAGCACCGGCUAACUACGUG